rnacentral:rRNA from 1 species
UAAGCGGAGGAAAAGAAACUAACAAGGAUUCCCCUAGUAACUGCGAGUGAAGCGGGAAAAGCUCAAGUUUCAAAGCUCCAGGGGCGACUCUGGCCGUUUGUAGACUAAAGGGGCGCUAUCCAUUUUGUACAGCUCAGGUACAGAUCCGUUGGAACGCGGUAUAAUAGAGGGUGAGAUCCCGUCCAUGACCUGAGUGAAUUUUUUCUGUGCAUUAUUGCGUUGCGCUUCCGAAGAGUCGGGUUGUUUGGGAAUGCAGCCCAAAAUGGGUGGUAAACUUCAUCUAAGGCUAAAUACUGGCAUGAGACCGAUAGCGAACAAGUACCGUGAGGGAAAGAUGAAAAGCACUUUGAAAAGAGAGUCAAAAAGUACGUGAAACCGUUAAAAGGGAAACGAAUGGGGCUAGCAUUUGCACUUGAUUGCAAUCAGCCGGACGCUUAUUUGGAUGUGACGGUGGUACUUUUUUUUUGUUUUAGAGAGCUCUCUGAGCGUACCGAAAGGUGCGAUGCUAGGGGGCCUCACGCCGUUACAAAUCAUUUUUCCAAGUAGGUGGGAGAGCCGGUGCACUUGCGGUCAGUGUCAGGCCAACAUCAGUUCGGUUAUUCUUGCCAAACGAAGGAGACAGGAACCUUAAGGGGAAGGUGGCUGUUAUAAUACGUUUUAUAUGUGUUGUAGCAGCGUUAUAACCCCUUUUGGAAAAUUUUCUAACGUCGCGGCCCGGACUGAGGAAACGCAGCAGCACGCGUUUUUUUUGAAUGGUUUUUUGCUGUUCAAAAAGGAUAAACUUGCAGAGCUUCGGCUGGGUUGCCAGGCAACUGUGACUGUUCCAAAAAGGGGCAGUGGCAGAAGUCUAUUUGUGCAGCUBACUUACAAGCCACUGAAGUCUACGCAUUAUACGUGCUUGUGAUGUUGGCGAAAUGGCCUCAUCUGACCCGUCUUGAAACACGGACC